GUUGGGAGGAGGAGGAGGAGGUGGAGGGGAACAGCUGCUCCCCACACAGAAGCCGGUUUCCCAGUCUGACAGGCAGCGAGAGGCAGCCAGUGCCGGGGCUGUUUUCCCGGGGGCCCUCGGGUUGGUUCGCCAGCUCCGCAGCUCCGGCUUGGAGGGAGAUUUUUAUGGCGGCGGCGAAACACGAAAUUGACCAGAAAAAGUAGGAUUCUUUCCUUCACAAGGCCAGGCGCUCGUGUUCUCUAAAUCAGGAGCAGAUAUGGAUACAUCUCCACUGAAACUCGACCAGGUUUCUCUCAGCCGAUGGGACUCCAGUGGACCCCGCGGCAGCUCUGAGCGUCUUCCUCCAGUCAGAGCUUUUAACCCGUCGGAUGGCGGUUAGCGGUGGCCGCAGGUGCUCCCGUUACCUGCACGAAAAGCUGCGUGAGCACCCCAGAAAUCCUCAAACACUCUCACACACACACACACAACCCAGACAUCUUUUUGUUCUUCAACAUACAGUGAGCUCUGGCAGGGACAUAAACCUGUCUGUAUCCUAAAAUGCACUCUCUCUCUCACAAAAAAACAAUCCCUGUUGUGAAUGAGUGUGCAAAAUAAUACAGACUUCUUUUUAGGUGCAGAUGUUAUUUUCAGCUUGCAGGUAACUUGCAGAUUAACUUGAUAUUGUUACACACAUUCUUACUAUUUACUAGGAUAUGCCAUAAAAUAAUACCAUUAUUCAAA